UACAGAGGUCUCAACCGUUGUUCGGAUUCAUUGGGCGUAAAGGGCGCGUAGGCGGCGAGGAUAGUCAACGGUGAAAGCUUGGGGCUCAACCCCGAGUCGGCCGUCGAUACUUCCUUGCUUGAGCACUGUAGAGGCAGAUGGAAUUCCGGGUGUAGCGGUGGAAUGCGUAGAGAUCCGGAAGAACACCGGUGGCGAAGGCGGUCUGCUGGGCAGUAGCUGACGCUGAUGCGCGACAGCGUGGGGAGCAAACAGG
rnacentral:rRNA from 1 species